AGUGAACGCUGGCGGCGUGCCUAAUACAUGCAAGUCGAACGGAAUUUAAAAGAGCUUGCUCUUUUAAAUUUAGUGGCGCACGGGUGAGUAAUAUAUAGCUAAUCUGCCCCUUGCUGGAGGACAACAGUUAGAAAUGACUGCUAAUACUCCAUACUCCUUUUUACCAUAAGAUAAAUCGGGAAAGAAUUUCGGCAAGGGAUGAGACUAUAUCGUAUCAGCUAGUCGGUGGGGUAACGGCCUACCGAGGCUAUGACGCGUAACUGGUCUGAGAGGAUGAUCAGUCACAUUGGAACUGAGACACGGUCCAAACUCCUACGGGAGGCAGCAGUAGGGAAUAUUGCGCAAUGGGGGAAACCCUGACGCAGCAACGCCGCGUGGAGGAUGACACUUUUCGGAGCGUAAACUCCUUUUGUUAGGGA
rnacentral:rRNA from 1 species